rnacentral:lncRNA from 1 species
GAGCCACGCCCCCAACCAAAAAGCCAUUUAUGAUCAUUACUUCAUGGAGAUACAAUCAGACAGAGAUGCUAAGGCAGAAGAACUACUGCGUCUGCAGUUUAAAAUGAUUAAUAUGAUUAUUAUUACUUCAAGGAAAUGAUGAAUCAUUGGUCAUAAAUGUUCUUCCUUGAGCUGCGUCCCCCCGCUGCAGUUAAUGGACUCGCCCGGAGGUCUCUGUACAAACAAGCGGCUGCUGGAGGAGGGACGGUGAGUUGUGUUUAGACUCUUUGCUGAAGAAAUUAGAUGUUUGGUGGCUAGUACUGUGACUGGAACCCUAUAUGUACUAUUGAUGAAGUUAGGUGCUGUUCUGAUCAUUAUUUGUGGCUAUAGAGUGGAGUUUUGUUUGAGGUUUGUUUAUGGCUCCUCAGACCGCUGUGUAUUGCUAUCGUGCGGUCGUUACUAAAGUUGGUAUAACUAGAGAAGUAAGCGGUUGGCGUUUGACCCUAAAUUAAUUUUACGCCGGAAUAUCCCUCUAAGGAGAAAGUGUCCUAAAACGUUCAACCUGUGACUUCUGUUUACAGCGACCCCAGACUUGGUAGCUUCACGGAGCAACAUCAGACCAGACCAUGAGAGUUAAACAUAAAUAGGCUGAGCUACCUUUGACCACAGGCUGCAGCACAUCCAGCAUCGUUCAGUCUCAAAAAUAAGGGUUUAUGUUUUUAUAAGAUGUGGAGCAAAGUCGCUCUUUAGCCCGGCAAAUGUUAGCUUGUUCAUGCUCGUGAUCACUACAGCUGCUCUGUUGUCGUGCUUUACUCUGUCCCUUGGCUUUUCAGAUGCACACCUGCCUCCUCCUGCAGCUUAGUGAUAGUUUGUCCUACUGAAGGACAACAUGUUGAAGAUUGACCUUAUAAUGUCAUAACAGUGCCAGUCAUGGAUGUAUUACUUUAAGAACUUUUACUUCCUGGACACCACACAUUCUCCCAUCAGGCUUUGCACCAUUGAGAGAUUUUGGUUGGCUCAGAAAGUUCCUGCUAAAAUCGUUCGGUCUAAAUGCUCAAUCGUCUCUUUUUGCCAACAUUGUUGGAAAUGAUAAACCCAGUGUGUGUUGAGAUGUGGGUGAAGUCAAACAACAGUUUUAUAAAUGAAGCCCCCUGGUGCUCCACUCCCUCACUUUACUCUGCUGAGCCCAUAAAUAAGUAAUCAAGGCUGGGUCACACUAAUGGCUUCCCAGAGCAGUGGGUACAGAUGUGUGUGUGUGUGUGUGUGUGUGUGUGUGUGUGUGUGUGUGUGUGUGUGUGUGUGUGUGUGUGUGUGUGUGUGUGUGUGUGUGUGUGCGCAAAAAGAGAUGAGGAGAGAGGAGGGGGGAUUAUUAAAGAAGGAGAAACAAGAUGCAAGUGUGUGUGAGUGUGUGAGAGUGUGUUUGUGUGCACGUGCAGCCUUAGAGGGAAAAAAAGCGAAGCCUUUCUGUUCAUCAUCUCAAAUCAAAGUGCAUUAAAGCAGAGCUCUUAGCAUCUUCAAGCCUUACACACUUCCCUCUGGAGCCACACACACACACUUGCUAACACACACACACAUACACACACACACACACACACACACACAACAGAUGUUCUGCAUGUACUCUUGUGUACAUAUAUGAGCAAACAUGGAUAAAAGUGUACACACACACUCGUGGAAAUUAAUGCACACAUUUAUUUCUGUCAUUUGCGACACACUAACUUUGCAGAAGUGUGUGCAUGUGUGUGUGUGUGUGUGUGUGUGUGUGUGUGUGAGAGAGUGUGUGUGCAUAUGUUAAAAGUGUGAUAGAGAGGAUAAAUAAUGUAUGGAUUCUUCCUCCUCGAGCUUUUACCAAUAAACCUGUUCACCAGUGGGGUGAGGGGACUGACCUGGUUGUCUAACAGUCAACCCCGAUACGAGAGGUUGCUGGUUUGAUUCCACUUCACACACUUUCCUGUGUAAAAACCCAAGGACGAACUUUGUUGGGGGUUUUGCUUCACCUGCUGCAAGUGAACCUGCUAUUUAAAUGUGAACAGGGUGCCUUCUGAAUCUGAUCUGAGACAUAAUAAUAAAUAUGAACCUGCAAAAAGGAGAGAAGAAAUAAAACUAGCGUCUCAGCAAAUGCACCAUUUAAACAGAAAACCAUGAUCCAGAAACAUCCCUGACUUCUCUGGGCCUGAGCUGACAUAGGAUGGAUGAAGACAAAGUGGGGGCUGUGAGGGCUUCAGCAGUGCUAAACAGUAGAUACAGGUUUUGGAGCAACAUCUAGAGAACACCUUUCUCAGCAAAGACUUCUCAUAUUUCAGCAAGAUCAUGACAAACCAGAUUUUCACAUAUUACAACCUUUCACGUAUCUCUGUAGUAGAAAGGUCCUGCUCUAUAGUCCUGACUAUGGAAAACGAAGGUCACACUUUACAUUAAGGUCCUUGUAAUGGGCAUUAGUCAAUAUUUUAUAAGACUUGAUAAGCUCUUCAAUUAACCUUAAUAAAGUCUGAUGAAUGUUCACACCCUAAAGAUGUUUAUGACAGGUUAAUAAACUGUUUUUAUAAGCAAUAACAGAUCAAAUAAUCAAUCAAUCUUUACUUGGACAGAACUUUUCAUACAAAACCCUGUAGCCCAAAGUGCUCAGUCUGGGCCUACCCAAGGUUUCUGCCUGUUAAAAGGAAGUUUUUUCUCGCCACUGUUACUCAUGUUAGAUGAGAUGGGCCAAAUCCCAUCUUUGGUUGGGUCUUGAUAAUUCAUCAAACGAUGAGUGUUGUCUAGACCUGCUCUUUGGAAAGCAUCUUGGGAUGAUGACUGUUGUGAUUUGGGGCCAUAUAAAUAAAACUUGAUUGAUAAGAUUUGAAUGAUUGAUUUACACAGCAGAGGAAUAAAACAAACAAAGAAUACCCAAAUCUACCCCGACCCAACCUCUCAUUCCGACGCCGCGAUCUAAGCACAACAGAAACAGAAUUAAAAUGCUUUAACUGCAAAAGAGCUUAAAUUCAUUAAAACAGGAAUGUUUUAGUUAUGCUCUUAAAAACACUUUUUAUACCUAUUCAUGGUCAGAAGCAACUUUUUCGGUCUUACAGGAGCUUAUUCACUCUGCUUCUUGCUUGGAACUGAAUGUAAAGUGGGACCAGCUCCAGAAACUGGUCUCCUCAGCGUUCAGAUACAGGGUGAUAUUAAAAGAUGAGGUGUUAAGAUAGGAAACAUGGUCCUCUCUUAUUCCUCAUGGGCCAGAACAAUUAAUGCAAAGAACAAGAGUGACAUUUAUCAGAAGAAAAAAAAAAUCAUUUACUUUAAAAAGCCCGCUCCUCCUCCCCUCAGUAAUGAGACAGACUGCUGAGAGAAGCCACUUCUUGGCGUGACCUCUGACCCCUCUGUUGAAGCAGUGGGUGUCCAGAGGUGAGGAGCAGCCCCCCACUCUGCUCGACCCCGUACCCUCACCGACAUGUGCAUCUUCACCGCGGCUCUUGUUGUUUCCCCACGGGCGCUGUCCCGGUGCCCCCUCGGAGUCGGCCUCCCAGCCUCUUAGGAACAAAGCGGCCUGUCCGUCAAACAGCCAUACAGCUGUCAAUCACCACAAAUACCAUUCUGCGUGUUUACACAGACGAUACCCGCGCUCCGCUGUCGGCGAGGAUCGAAGCGAUAUCGGCCUCACACGCACUCAGAGCUUUGGUUUAUGGCUGUCAAUGGGUAUGCAAAAGAAAAACACUCGUGAAAGGAGGUCAGAGGUCGGGGAGGUGGGAGGGAGUCUGUGUUCUGCUCAAUGACACUUCAGCAGAGUGAAAGGACACUGACACUCUCCAAUGAGAGUGGGUGACAUGCCAGAAAUGUAAUCCUGUUAAAUGUGUUUGAAAUGAUCAGGGAAGAAAUGAAGCCCGAAAAAAAGCAAAACGUUAAUGACCCGACUACCAAGCAGAUACACAAAUGAUCGAUCUUAAAGAUGAAUUAAUAAAUGAUUCAUUUUCAAACAAAAAAGGUUCCCAAGGUUUGGUGUAUCCUUAUUAGCAAAGCUAUUUACAUCCCAAUAGAAACGUCACUUACAGUUAUAAACAGUAUUAAACUAUGUGGUUCAUACACCACCAGACGCCUCUUCCUCUUCUAAACACACUGAUCUUGUAUUUAAAGUCAUUACAGAUGAGAAAUAAAGGAUUUUAAAGUCUAAAUCAGUCUUUUUAAACUGUUUGAAGAUAUCAGGGGGCUGUGACCGGAGCUGACACUCGCAUUAACUCACUAAUUUCAACAGGAGCUGAAUUAUCCACAGAAGUUUCCAAACCACUGAAAAAAACAGGUGAAUCAAGUAUUUUGCUGGGGGGCUGUGAGCUGAUCUGCUGCUAACUUUAGCUUCAUUGUUUUUUUUCUAACAGUUUCAGAUUGAGCGCUCCGUUUUCAUGCCUCUCCAGCAGCGUGGCUCAGGCACGACGUAGGUUGGGGCCGCCAUGCUUGUAGAGGUUUGAAUUAGUGCUUGGUAACUUGCAAUGGCUUACUCAGCUUGGCACUUAGUUACUUCCACAGGCAGUGUCUGCCGCUAGCCCAGCUACACGGGUCAACAAAAUCCACUCUGGAAACGUUUUUGUGGUGAAGAAAAUAUAUAAAAAAUCUUCUGGUUUAUUUCUUACAUCCAAGGAUCCACAAAAAUGAUGAAGACUGGAGCUGACUAAAACUAACACACUUGUUGUAACUAAGCAGUAGCAGGUAAGAAAACCGUUUGCUUCUCUAGCUCCAAGCACUGACUGACUGCAUCAUCUACGUGUCCAUCAAAACAAACGCACAUGCGGUCUUAAAGGGGAAGAAGGCCUGUUAUAAAAAACAUUUACCAAAUCACAUGAAAGAUGAAUUUUAGCAUAUUUUUAACAUUUUUACCACAAUAUGAACUUAUAAAUGAAAUUAUGUAUUAUUAAAUCCUAUAUUUUUAUACUGUCAACUUAUUUAUCUUUUUUUAACACAUUUCAAUCAUGUUAACUGUAUUCAUAACCAUGAACUAUUCUUCCGCCUCUAGCACACUUUGAUAUUUUGGUGAGGGGCGCAGCCCGGCGUAAGUAGCCCCCUCCCUAACUCAGCUCCUCCAAGCGGCGUAAGUAGGAAGGAGGGAGGGGAGAAGGCAUGAGAAGGUUUAACACAGCAGAGCCCUGUUUUCACCAAUCACAUCAGCUCCUCGCCUUUAAAUCUGCCACUGACGAAGCGUAUUGCAAAUUUCGUAAAGUAGUCUGAGAGAUCAAGAGACGGCUGAAGACAGCAUCGCCGCACUCACAUCAAGUUGCAGAUGUCUAAACCCCACAUGACAAAGGUGGGUUGUGCACACAGAUCACAACAUGAACAAAUGCUAACAUUGGCAUUAAAAUCGGAACCACGCGGCUCUUUCUGUCAGUAAUGUUGGCUUAUAAAAUGAACUUGGCUCAAGCAACUGAAUAUUACAAUAUUCAUUUGUAGACCUAACUCCAGAUUGAAUAUUUACAGAAUUUUAAGGAUGUGUGCCUCGGUCUACCAAAGUACCAAACUGGCUGUGUGCCAGGCUGUGCUGGACUAAAAUACCACCCUGCGCCGUGCCGCUUGCGGGUACAAAAAAUCUGAUAACCCUGAAUCAGUUUUUAAGUUUAUCGGUCUUAAAAGUAUCAGACAGCAUUCAGGAGCAGUCAUGAACACGGAUGAACUCAGAUGGCCAAAGUGCUGGCACAGUGAUAGGAAAAGAUAAGAGGUCAUGGCUGUGGUCUCCACUGUGUGUGUGUGUGUGUGAGUGUGUGUUCCAGUAGGAAGUUGGGGAUUUGCUCAGUUGGAAGGGAGGAAAGGAUGACGACAAGGAGGAGAUAUGAGAUGAUGAAGACGAGCAAAAGAACAUUUUCCUGCAUCAUGUCACGACCGCUGAGAGUAGACUAAAUAUUAGAAAUGCUUCCCACUCCCAUGAUACAGAAAUAUGAACAAGGACAUAAAUCAGGUAUGUUUGAUGGGUUAGAGGAAUCAUACGCUACAGCUUUCUUGUUUAACACAUGCAAAGGUUAGGCUGAGGUUAGGCAAAGGUGAGUAUAGAUCACAAAUCUGUGCACAUGGAUUGCGAGCACCAUGAGGGCUAACAGCGCUGUCAUGCAUCCCGCUGAGCCACAGGUUAACCAACACACACUUUGCAUUCCCUAUUUUUACAGCUUUUGUGACCUUUUCGUUCUGUUGUUACUGAAAAUAUGUUUCUAUCAAUAGCCACGUUUACAUGCAGACUUUUUUCUCAUUCGGAUUAUAAUCAUUCCGAUUGAAGCUCCCAGGCGAACUGUUUACAUGGAAGCGAUCUAUUCUGAUCUGGUGUUUACAUGUGCCACGGCAUUCAAUCGGAACAGCUAUUUACAGACACGUGAUACCUUCAAACAUCACGUGAUUGAUUGAUCACGUGAUCUCCGACGCAGACCAGUGCAUCGUGCUCUGCUUGGAAGCCGCCAUCAUGUUUCCAUGUGAGUCAUACGUCACUGCUUGUUUACAUCAGGACAGAGCAUGCGCAGACAGAACCCAGCCUGACAACUUUCCGAUUCACCGUUUACAUGACAGGAUUUUGCUUUUAAUCGGAAUGGGAAAAGGAAAAUUCUACCCCUGUGAAUCGGAAUGAAAUUCCAUUCGGAAUGGGCCUGUUUAUUCCGAAUGAGGUGUUUAUAUGGAGCAUUUUCAUUCCGAUUGGGCUUCUAAUCCGAUUAUAUUCGGAAUAUUUGGCUCCAUGUAAACGUAGCUAAAGUCACAUUUCUGCAUUUUAAACUUAAUUUGAAGAAUAAACCUGCAAAAUUACCAACUAACUGUCAACUUUGCACAAAUUCAUCUGCUAGUGUUUCAUGAAAGGACCCUAAAUUUCCCAAUGUUUUGCUACAAAUGAAGAUUUCUGCAAGGGUGAGCAGUGCAAAAACUCUUAAAUGUAUUAUCAGUCUUUUUGUGAUUAAAUGUUCCCUUUCUCUCUUAUUAUGGCAGUUGCUUCAGUAUCAACAACUGUAGUGCAAACACACUAAAAAUGAGCAAAGGAAGCAUUAUCGCUCAUGUUACAUGCAUGCACUCAAAUUCAGCAGGUUUGAAAUGAGUCGUUUGCAGUUUGUUUCAAUGAUGAGUGAAGAGAAAGACAGCAGUGAGCAGAGGAGAGUCAUAAAGCUGGACUUGCGUACAGGAAACAAGGAGGAGAGAAGGAUCCAGGGAGUAAGGGGGGGCUCCACACAGCUGCAGGGACGAGGGAGGGUGGGAAUGUUAUCUGCAGGGGUCAAGAGGUCAGGACAGAGGUUUUAACUCACUUCCUGUUUCUGCUGCUGGGAUGACAAAACUCUUCUCCCUGCCCCUGGAAUUCACAUCCCUCCCUCCCUCCCACUCUCAUUCUUUCAUUCCCCGUCCUGUCUUCAGCUUUUUCUCACUCCAACAACCCACAAGCUGCUUUCUCAUUCAGGUUUCUCCAGGUUGACCCUGAUGCGCAAUAUCAGACGGGCUGAGAGGAAAAACACAACCAUAAGUGUUUAACAGCUUCUCAGUUUGUUUAAAGUUUCUUGAAUAAAUUGUUAUCAGCUCUUAUUUGUAUCUCUUUCUCUCUCUGUGUGUGUAACCAACACUUAAAACUUCCCUAAACUGAUUUUGCAGAUGUUCAUCUCUGACUCAGUGGUCAAAAUGAUGAGUUAGCGUCCGCUCAGAGACGCAGCUGUGUCUGAGCUCUAAAAUAAACCAUUUGUCUCAAAACUUAUCCCACAAACUUUAUCAAAACGCUCAUCAGAGACUCUUCUUGUUUGUUUUAUUUGGCAGAGUAAGAGAAAUACUGGAAUGUGAUGUGGUUUGUCAACGACCUCCUAAGCACAAGAGUCCUCUGGUGGGAGGAGAGGGAUGAUAUACGAAUUUCAUUUCUGGAAAGCAAAUCACAAAAGGAUGAGUUUAUGUUCUGCGGUAGACUCAGUGACCCGUCGAAGUGUUAGUCCAGGCAGGCCAUGAAGUCAGGCUCAGCAAAAAUGAAACAGAAGGUGAGGUAAGCGUACUAAUUAAAAGGGAUAGUCCAGUGUGAAAUUAAUUUAGUGUCAAACACACCAUAACACUGAGUUAGACACCCCCUCCAGAGAUGAAUGUUGACGACCGCUUACUUCUCUAGUUAUGCCAACUUUAGUAACGACCACAGAUAACAAUACAGGGAGCCACGCGCUCAACCAAAACGCCACUCUA